rfam:Pteropus alecto contig110117, whole genome shotgun sequence.
GACUACCGCCAUGCCAUCCUAAACAAGUCCUAUCCCGUCUGAUCUCGGAAGCUAGGCAGGGUCCGACCUGGUUAGUACCUGGAUGGGAGGCCACCUAGGAAGACCAGGUGCUGUAGGUG